GCGGGCGUGGCGGAACUGGUAGACGCGCCAGAUUUAGGUUCUGGUGUCCGAGAGGACGUGGGGGUUCAAGUCCCUUCGCCCGCACCA
rnacentral:tRNA from 2 species